rnacentral:tRNA from 1 species
CGCGGGAUGGAGCAGCGGCAGCUCGUCGGGCUCAUAACCCGAAGGUCGGGGGUUCGAAUCCCUCUCCCGCUACCA